AGUGAACGCUGGCGGCAGGCCUAACACAUGCAAGUCGAACGGCAGCACAGGGGAGCUUGCUCCCUGGGUGGCGAGUGGCGGACGGGUGAGGAAUACAUCGGAAUCUACCCUGUCGUGGGGGAUAACGUAGGGAAACUUACGCUAAUACCGCAUACGACCUCCGGGUGAAAGCAGGGGAUCGCAAGACCUUGCGCGAUUGGAUGAGCCGAUGUCCGAUUAGCUAGUUGGCGGGGUAAAGGCCCACCAAGGCGACGAUCGGUAGCUGGUCUGAGAGGAUGAUCCGCCACACUGGAACUGAGACACGGUCCAGACUCCUACGGGAGGCAGCAGUGGGGAAUAUUGGACAAUGGGCGAAAGCCUGAUCCAGCCAUGCCGCGUGGGUGAAGAAGGCCUUCGGGUUGUAAAGCCCUUUUGUUGGGAAAGAAAACUUUCCGGUUAAUACCCGGAGAGAAUGACGGUACCCAAAGAAUAAGCACCGGCUAACUUCGU
rnacentral:rRNA from 1 species